rnacentral:rRNA from 1 species
GACGAACGCUGGCGGCGUGCUUAACACAUGCAAGUCGAACGGAAAGGCCCCUUUGGGGGUCCUCGAGUGGCGAACGGGUGAGUAACACGUGAGUAACCUGCCCUUGACUUCGGGAUAACUUCAGGAAACUGGUGCUAAUACCGGAUAGGAAUCCUUGCUGCAUGGUGGGGGUUGGAAAGCUUCGGCGGUUUUGGAUGGACUCGCGGCUUAUCAGCUUGUUGGUGGGGUAGUGGCUUACCAAGGCUUUUACGGGUAGCCGGCCUGAGAGGGCGACCGGCCACAUUGGGACUGGGAUACGGCCCAGACUCCUACGGGAGGCAGCAGGGGGGAAUAUUGCACAAUGGGCGGAAGCCUGAUGCAGCAAAGCCGCGGGCGGGAUGACGGCCUUCGGGUUGUAAAACGCUUUCAGCAGGGGCGAAGCUUGUGGUGACGGUACCUGCAGAAGAAGCACCGGCUAACUACGUG